rnacentral:tRNA from 1 species
GGGCGGUUAGCUCAGUUGGUAGAGCGUCUGCUUUACACGCAGAAUGCCGGGGGUUCGAGUCCCUCACCGCCCACCA